rnacentral:rRNA from 1 species
CAGUUCGGAUUGCAGGCUNCAACCCGCCUGUAUGAAGUUGGAAUCGCUAGUAAUCGCGGAUCAGCAUGCCGCGGUGAAUACGUUCCCGGGCCUUGUACACACCGCCCGUCACACCAUGAGAGUCGGGAACACCCGAAGUCCGUAGCCUAACCGCAAGGAGGGCGCGGCCGAAGGUGGGUUCGAUAAUUGGGGUGAAGUCGUAACAAGGUACC